AGUACACCUAAAUGUAGAUAAUGGACGUCCUGUUGACUUUGGCUGUCCUCACGGUACCGGCAGUCAUCUCAGGACUACAGGCAUGCUCCUCGGGGACAGACACCAGCUCCACUCAAAUCCUGCUGGAUGUGUCUUCCACACAGAUCAACACAGGGGGAGGGAUGUGUUCCUGUAGACUGACUGUGACACAGACAACACAGGUGGAUAUGUUCACUGUUAGCUGGACACCACAGUGUGAUACAUACAUGACUAUACAGAAGUGGGGGACCAGUACACAGUGUACAAAUGGUGUUGUACAAACUCCACCUGCAAAGACUCACACCAUCACUACCGGUGAGGAGAUAUGGAUCCUGGUGGUGGCUACAAAACCUGGAUCCAGAGGACUGUCAGGACAGCUGCAGUUAAAGGCGAAGCAGCCAUCAGCACUACAGACAUGCUCCUCAGGGACAAAGACCAGCUCCACUCAAAUCCUGCUGGAUGUGUCUACCACACAGAUCAACACAAGGGGAGGGAUGUGUUCCUGUAGAGUGACUGUGUCACAGAAAACACAGGUGGAUAUGUUCCCUGUUAGCUGGACACCAGGAUGUGAUACAUACAUGACUAUACCGAAGUGGAAGACAAGUACACAGUGUACAAAUGGUGCUGUUCAGUCUCCACCUGCACAGACUCACACCGUCAACACUGGUGAGGAGAUCUGGAUCCUGGUGGUGGCUACAAUACCUGGAACCAGAGGACUGUCAGCACAACUGCAGUUCAAGGCGAAGCAACCAUCAGACCAGCUAAACAUAGAGUGUUUUGAGCCUAACAGUAACAGCAGCACAACUACUACUCCUUCAACAACCACCGUGACGGCUUCAACAACUUCAUCGACAUCGAGGAGAAAUGUUGUAACAACGACAUCUCCAAAAACUACCAGGAGAAUUACACCUACAUCUACAUCUCUGCCUACCACUCACACUGAAACAUUACGUUCACCUGACACCACAUCUCAAGGACAGCCCACAUCCCCUCCAGGAUCAACUGCAGGGACGAGGACUACUGAAGCUUCUACUGCUCAGUACCACAGGGCAGGAUGUCAUACCUGUAAUGAUGAUUUUCCAGGUGGCAUCUUUGCUGCUGGAGUUGCUACAGGCGCCGUGUUGGUCCUCAUUGCUGGCGGACUGUACGUCGUCAUAUCAAGGCGACAAUGGUGGACAUCCCGCCAUCAGAAGACCGACGACAUCCCAAUCUCUGAAGCCCAUCCAACCUACUCUGGGUUCACAUCCAGAACAGAGGAGCCCAUUAACAUCUACGACAAAUUAGAUCCAAAACCUUCCAAGGGGACGGACCAUCCAUAUAUCAAUGUGUCAUAGAUUAAGUAUCUUGUUCUGCGUCAUGCUCUACCGGUUAAUUUAAAAAUGUUGCACCCCUGGAUAUCACAGUUAAGUGAAAAUCAUAAUUACUUGUAGAGAAGGGGCAUAAGUCCCAAUCGAUGAUGUAUGGAUAUGGUCAUUUGUAUGAGUAAUUUCGGGCGUAAGUCUCUGUCCAUCUUGUGUGUAAAUGGACAUCUUUACGAGUAGCUUCCAGACGUCCCUCCAUGAUGCGUGGAUAUAGACAUCUUUACGAGGAAUAGGUUCUGGCGUAAUCCCUAUCAAUGAUGUGUGGAUAUGGACAUCUUAACGAGUAGGUUCUGGGAAACGUAAUGUCAACCCUCUGUCAAUAUUGAUGUCAACCUUUGUAUUUCGAAGAACAUGCAAAGAUUAAAUUUGUGGUAAUCAGCGGACUUUGCUUUGAUAAUGCAUUGUUUAUUUUAGUUAUUGUGUUGUUUUGCACAGUGUCUGUUAGUCAGUUGUUAGUCUGUCAACUCUGUUGGGUCAAUGCCUGGAGAUUAGGAAAUGCAGUAUGUUCUGCUUGAAAACACAAAGCCUCGUGUCAUAGUGUUAUUCGGUAUAUACACAUUAUGAGACAAAAGAGAGGGACGUGUGGUCAGUUCGUCUUAGUCAUUAUAAUGGUUUGUCAGCUUCAUACCAUAUACGUUUGGGAACAUUUGCAUAAGUGACAUCGGGCGUGUCUCCUCAUUUUGAUCUGAAACGCAACAAACUAUAAACCAUAGUAAACUUCAGUUCAAUGAAUGGCGAUUUACCCGAACCAAGUGACACGAAAACAAAUUACAGAAACACAAGCUUCCUCUACGAGUAAGUCGACACUGAGCAGUGAACUUAUCUAAGGGAUGAUGAUAAACAUCACAAAACUCAAGUCACUGUUUGUGGCCACAUAUACAUUUGCAUACCCUGUUAUUGCUAUGAAACUAAUUAUCACAGAAUACAUAUUUUAUGUAAGAGAUCAACAAUUUCCCAGACGCUUGUUGAAUACUGAAUACUUUGUCGACACUGAGACAUCAGGCUGUUAUUGCCGGCAUAGUGGUUAAACUGUCUAAGGGAUAACAAAGACACUGUCUUAUUCUCGUGAUUGUUAUGCACCUACAUUACUUCCUGUUUGAAGAAAUGAUGUACCGUGUACAUUUACUGGAACAUGUAUUUCCUCAGGGGGUAUCAUAGGAGACACUAUCGCCAUUCAUUAUAUCGAAAUUAUCGACACAGUGGACUUAAUGAUCCAUAACAUACUCCUCCACUGAAACAUAUAUAUAUGGGAAGUUACUGGUACAAAUCUGUCGGCGCUCGGGUUUCGUGUCAGACUAACCUGAUUGGUUUAGCAUGACAUAAACCAGUUACAAAACGACUUUUCCUUCAAUGUGUGUAGUGUACAUAUAUCUUUUGCAAAACAAACCUGUUUCUGAUCUUUAGUUUAAGACAAUAUGUUUAGUUGUUCCUGCUGUGAUCUUACCAGACACGCAAAGAACUGUUUUCAUUUCAACUGGAUUAGUGAAGCCGAUAUCGGGUUCAUGGAUUAUUGAAAUGCAUCUGGGGCAUCUUUAUAUGAGGCCUCUUGUGGUGUACACGCCCAUUUGUUGAAUAAUAGCAAAAUGAGCACGUUAUGGUAUUAAAGACGUAUUCCUUCACA
rnacentral:misc_RNA from 1 species